rfam:Danio rerio chromosome 9, GRCz11 reference primary assembly.
GCUGGCAGCUAGCUCUCUGCAACUCUCACAUGGUCACCCACUGAAGCUAAGCAGGGCUGCGCCUGGUCAGAACCUGGAUGGGAGACCACAUGGGAAAGCUAGGUUGCUGUCGAAA